GGUGUUUUGAAGUGGGGUUGUAUGAGGUUCUUAUCCAUAGUAGGUGUAUUACCUACAGUAGAUGACAGUCGGGGCGCCCCCAGCAUCAAGUAACAGACAAGAGCACCGACACCAUAUCAAAGCAAUACAGUGCUGUAGACGGGGACGGCAGAAAAA